GAUGAACGCUGGCGGCGUGCCUAAUACAUGCAAGUCGAGCGAACAAACGAGAAGCUUGCUCCUCUGACGUUAGCGGCGGACGGGUGAGUAACACGUGGAUAACCUACCUAUAAGACUGGGAUAACUUCGGGAAACCGGGGCUAAUACCGGAAAAUAUAUUAAACCGAAUGGUUAAAUAGGGAAAGACGGUUUUGCGGUAACUUAUAGAUGGAUCCGCGCCGCAUUAGCUAGUUGGUAAGGUAACGGCUUACCAAGGCAACGAUGCGUAGCCGACCUGAGAGGGUGAUCGGCCACACUGGAACUGAGACACGGUCCAGACUCCUACGGGAGGCAGCAGUAGGGAAUCUUCCGCAAUGGGCGAAAGCCUGACGGAGCAACGCCGCGUGAGUGAUGAAGGUCUUCGGAUCGUAAAACUCUGUUAUUAGGGAAGAACAAAUGUGUAAGUAACUAUGCACGUCUUGACGGUACCUAAUCAGAAAGCCACGGCUAACUACGUG
rnacentral:rRNA from 1 species